rnacentral:lncRNA from 1 species
CUCAGGACGGCUCUUUGCCUCAAAGCAACCGGUCACAUAUCUCUGUUCACCUGUUUUUGGUUUAAUCCUGUGAUGGUAGGGGAAAGUUCCCCAUUGGCUUGAAAACCAUUGGUGGUCAACAAGUCAACUUUCUUUUGUGUAUGAGCAUGCCACUGCUAGCAGUAAAAACCCUAGCAAACUUCUUAAAAAUAGAUAACUUCGAGAAUCAAGUAUCAAU